GCCAGAGGCAGGACCACACUCACGAUCUCUUCUCCUUCCCCAUCCUGCAGAGGCCCCUCCACACCACUACCAUGUUUGAGCUUCUAUACAAACUGGAUUCUCUUCCUUCUGAAGAGAGAAAGAGCACAACUGGAGAUGUGGGAGAGGGAGAAGCAGGCUCCCCAAUGAGCAGGGAGCCCGAUGUGCGGUCGAUCUUGGGACUCCAGGAUCAUGACCUGACCUGAAGGCAGAUGCUUAACCUCCUGAACCAACAAGGCACCCUGUUUGUUUUAAUUUUGAUAUAAAGUUGAGGCUUAUAUUAUCACUUUUAAAAUUUAUCAGUUUUAAAAAUAAAACUGAGGAAGGUAUAGAAACCAC